GUGAAUCAUCGAAUUUUUGAACGCAAAUUGCACUCCCUGGUAUUCCGGGGAGUAUGCCUGUUUGAGGGUCGGUAGAACAAAAAUCGAGGCGGCGCGCUUUUUUUUAAGGGGGAUCGCGGCGGAAGUGAGGCGUCUUUCAAGUGUUAAUUCAUGUCAAAGUGGCUUAAAAUUCAUCCAUCCGGUACGAUUAAAGCGUAGUUAAUAUCAACUUUGGUUAAGAA
rnacentral:misc_RNA from 1 species